GUUUGAAACUUCAAAUGCGAUAUAAUUUUGGCUUGGACCAUCUAAGCUGACUGACAUCAACUUGCUAUAAUUUCUGUUUACAUGACAUCGCAAUUCGAUGACACUCUGCCUCAGACACCAGAAUGUUUUGACGAUUUUUAGCAUUCGUUUAGGAUUUUCAAACAACCUGGUCUCUUUUAAAAUACUUUUAAUUUGUUCUUACGUGGUUUUCCAGAUGUAGUGACGACAACAUUAAAGUUUAAAGAAGAAAAUUCGAACAUUUAAACCGACUAAACAAUAACAUAGUAAACUUGCAUAAUUAAACAG
rnacentral:lncRNA from 1 species